GACGAACGCUGGCGGCGUGCUUAACACAUGCAAGUCGAACGGAAAGGCCCUGCUUUUGUGGGGUGCUCGAGUGGCGAACGGGUGAGUAACACGUGAGUAACCUGCCCUUGACUUUGGGAUAACUUCAGGAAACUGGGGCUAAUACCGGAUAGGAGCUCCUGCUGCAUGGUGGGGGUUGGAAAGUUUCGGCGGUUGGGGAUGGACUCGCGGCUUAUCAGCUUGUUGGUGGGGUAGUGGCUUACCAAGGCUUUGACGGGUAGCCGGCCUGAGCGGGUGACCGGCCACAUUGCGACUGAGAUACGGCCCAGACUCCUACGGGAGGCAGCAGUGGGGAAUAUUGCACAAUGGGCGGAAGCCUGAUGCAGCAACGCCGCGUGCGGGAUGACGGCCUUCGGGUUGUAAACCGCUUUCGCCUGUGACGAAGCGUUAGUGACGGUAAUGUGUAAAGAAGCACCGGCUAACUACGUG
rnacentral:rRNA from 1 species